rfam:Acyrthosiphon pisum strain LSR1 Contig40344, whole genome shotgun sequence.
GUUGAAUGAUGAGUUGUUUUAUUAAUUGAUUUGCAAUGAUAAUCAAAUACACAUUACGAGCUUUUUAACUCUGACAAAA